rnacentral:rRNA from 1 species
GACGAACGCUGGCGGCGUGCUUAACACAUGCAAGUCGAACGGAAAGGCCCUGCUUUUGUGGGGUGCUCGAGUGGCGAACGGGUGAGUAACACGUGAGUAACCUGCCCUUGACUUUGGGAUAACUUCAGGAAACUGGGGCUAAUACCGGAUAGGAGCUCCUGCUGCAUGGUGGGGGUUGGAAAGUUUCGGCGGUUGGGGAUGGACUCGCGGCUUAUCAGCUUGUUGGUGGGGUAGUGGCUUACCAAGGCUUUGACGGGUAGCCGGCCUGAGAGGGUGACCGGCCACAUUGGGACUGAGAUACGGCCCAGACUCCUACGGGAGGCAGCAGUGGGGAAUAUUGCACAAUGGGCGGAAGCCUGAUGCAGCAACGCCGCGUGCGGGAUGACGGCCUUCGGGUUGUAAACCGCUUUCGCCUGUGACGAAGCGUGAGUGACGGUAAUGGGUAAAGAAGCACCGGCUAACUACGUGCCAGCAGCCGCGGUGAUACGUAGGGCGCGAGCGUUGUCCGGAUUUAUUGGGCGUAAAGGGCUCGUAGGUGGUUGAUCGCGUCGGAAGUGUAAUCUUGGGGCUUAACCCUGAGCGUGCUUUCGAUACGGGUUGACUUGAGGGAGGUAGGGGAGAAUGGAAUUCCUGGUGGAGCGGUGGAAUGCGCAGAUAUCAGGAGGAACACCAGUGGCGAAGGCGGUUCUCUGGGCCUUUCCUGACGCUGAGGAGCGAAAGCGUGGGGAGCGAACAGGCUUAGAUACCCUGGUAGUCCACGCUGUAAACGGUGGGUACUAGGUGUGGGGUCCAUUCCACGGGUUCCGUGCCGUAGCUAACGCUUUAAGUACCCCGCCUGGGGAGUACGGCCGCAAGGCUAAAACUCAAAGGAAUUGACGGGGCCCCGCACAAGCGGCGGAGCAUGCGGAUUAAUUCGAUGCAACGCGUAGAACCUUACCUGGGUUUGACAUGGAUCGGGAGUGCUCAGAGAUGGGUGUGCCUCUUUUGGGGUCGGUUCACAGGUGGUGCAUGGCUGUCGUCAGCUCGUGUCGUGAGAUGUUGGGUUAAGUCCCGCAACGAGCGCAACCCUUGUUCACUGUUGCCAGCACGUUAUGGUGGGGACUCAGUGGAGACCGCCGGGGUCAACUCGGAGGAAGGUGGGGAUGACGUCAAGUCAUCAUGCCCCUUAUGUCCAGGGCUUCACGCAUGCUACAAUGGCUGGUACAGAGAGUGGCGAGCCUGUGAGGGUGAGCGAAUCUCGGAAAGCCGGUCUCAGUUCGGAUUGGGGUCUGCAACUCGACCUCAUGAAGUCGGAGUCGCUAGUAAUCGCAGAUCAGCAACGCUGCGGUGAAUACGUUCCCGGGGCU